CACGAGUGCACUGCUCUGCCUCUGCCUGCUGCUGGGGGACGCUGCCGGAGGACCCCGCAGGAGGAGAAGGAAAGCAGCAGCCGGUGGGGGCUGCAGGGAGGGGAAGGGAACGGGUCCGGUCCCUCCAGUCUCACGAUUUGACUUCACCUUUGGACCCUGAGCUGAGAGCUCGGGAAGGGAUGGGGCGGGAGCACAGCACCUCCGGCUCCCCGUGCACUGUGUGCUUUGCUGUGCAGCUCUGGGGCGGCUCCGGUGUGCCCUGCAGAGCCCUGAGAACUCACACACCGCAUCGGAUAUCGGGCAGUUCCUCUCCUCGCCUUGUGUAUUUCUUGCAUAUCCUUCGCAGUUUGAUGGGGACAAGGUGUUUGGCACUCGGGCCAGCUUUAGUUUACAAAUGAAUCUAUCAACAUUGUUCCUCAUCAGGCAGGAAUGUGCUUCCCUCCCUUCUCCCCCACCUUAUCCCCAUCCCCUUCCGAACAAACUUCCUUCCUUGUGCAAUCUGGAUCGGAAGCCGUGCCGCAUACUUGACCGGCUCAAGGAAAGCGGCUCCGCUCCCCGUGCCUUUGUGGCUCACACGGGGCCGGCGGGCACAGGAGCAGACCGGGGGCCGAGGCUCCCCGCACGCUACGGAUGCUCCACGUGAGCUCUCUGUUGCUCGGUUGCCGUUUCCAAACAAUCUGGCACGUUUCUGGGCACGGGCCCAGCCCUGGAGAGCCCGAGGUUGGCUGUGAGCUGCAGGCCCCGUGCUGCCCCGCAGUGCUCCGUGGGGCGGGGGAAGCAGAAAGGUGUCGGUGCCACAGGAGGGGACAUUUGCGCCCAGAGGACGUCUGCUCGCUGGGGCCGCUCCUUUCCCAUCAGCCUGCCAGCACCUGGGCACGACUUCCAGGCCAACAGGCUUCCAUCCUCUCACGUCACUCCUCACUGUACGUCCCGCAGAGGGUCGCGGCUGCGUGUCCCCCCCGGCCCACCCCGACACACGUGGCCUCAAACCCAGCUCAGGAGCAGCAGAGAGCCGCGC
ensembl:lncRNA